CACCUCUGGAAAGCAGACGCUGAACCCGUUCAGACGUCUCACCGACGGGGCAAGCCGGGCGGAUUACCCGCGCGGUGAAACUCUCAGGGCACCCGACAGAGGGGGAGGA
rnacentral:ncRNA from 2 species